rnacentral:rRNA from 1 species
UACGAAGGGGGCUAGCGUUGCUCGGAAUCACUGGGCGUAAAGGGCUCGUAGGCGGUUUGUCGCGUCGGGAGUGAAAUCCACUGGCUUAACUGGUGGCUUGCUUUCGAUACGGGCAGACUGGAGGUAUGCAGGGGAGAACGGAAUUCCUGGUGUAGCGGUGAAAUGCGCAGAUAUCAGGAGGAACACCGGUGGCGAAGGCGGUUCUCUGGGCAUGUCCUGACGCUGGAGGAGCGAAAGCGUGGGGAGCGAUCCGG